GAACGCUGGCGGCAGGCUUAACACAUGCAAGUCGAGCGGUAACAGGGGGUGCUUGCACCCCGCUGACGAGCGGCGGACGGGUGAGUAAUGCUUAGGAAUCUGCCCAGUAGUGGGGGAUAGCCCGGGGAAACCCGGAUUAAUACCGCAUACGUCCUACGGGAGAAAGCAGGGGAUCUUCGGACCUUGCGCUAUUGGAUGAGCCUAAGUCGGAUUAGCUAGUUGGUGGGGUAAAGGCCUACCAAGGCCACGAUCCGUAGCUGGUUUGAGAGGAUGAUCAGCCACAUCGGGACUGAGACACGGCCCGAACUCCUACGGGAGGCAGCAGUGGGGAAUAUUGGACAAUGGGGGCAACCCUGAUCCAGCCAUGCCGCGUGUGUGAAGAAGGCUUUCGGGUUGUAAAGCACUUUCAGUGAGGAGGAAAACCUUACGGUUAAUAACCGUGAGGCUUGACGUUACUCACAGAAGAAGCACCGGCUAACUCCGUGCCAGCAGCCGCGGUAAUACGGAGGGUGCAAGCGUUAGUCGGAAUUACUGGGCGUAAAGCGCGCGUAGGUGGUUCGAUAAGCGGGAUGUG
rnacentral:rRNA from 1 species